UGUAUUGCGAUUCGAAAGAAAAAAAACUCGCAUUUGAAGAAACGCUACUACGUAAUACUAUAAUAGUAUUUCGUUUCGAACAUUGUCAUUUUCACGUUACUACGAAAUGCGAAUACGAUAUUAACAUUCAUUCGAAAAUAGCAAAUGUCAUUCGAUAGAAAAUUAGCAUUCGGAACGGUUGAAAAAUGGAAAUUAAAUCAAAAAACGCACACACAAAGCAAAGGCAAUUUGAAAUCAUGGUAGAUUUCAUGGAGAAGCAUUCUCAGCUGGCAAAAGGCAUUUUAAAAACCGCAAACGGGAAAAGUACCAGUAACUCCUUGUGGAAAACUUUGGUGAAAGACUUAAACGCUGCUGGCCCCCAACACGCGAUGUUGCUGGAUGGAAAAAGGUAAGAAAGUACUUGUUUCCCCAAAAUAAUAAGAUUAAAGUAUUUAUCCAAUAUUUAAAGGUGUGGGCAGAUUACAAAAACCAUUUAAAGUCGAAGCUACGAAAAACUAAAAAUAGUUUAGCCGACACGGGUGGCGGGCCAUCAAAAUAUUGCUCGCUAACCCCAUUGGAAGAACAAGUGGAGAGAUUAAUGGCGAUGGGGGAGGCAAUUGAUGGCACAGUAGGCGCGUCAAAUUUUGGAAGUAUUUAUGCCAGCCAAGAUGCUGAACGUUCAACAAGCUCAGAAGCAUUUAGAGAAAAUUUUGCAGACUGUGAUGAUGUGAUGGAAAUAUGCUUGGAGAGCAACGAAAAUGCUACAUCCCAUCAGCAGACUCCAGUAUAAAGAACACGGCGGGUAAGUAAAGUUGUGGAGAAAGAUGCACUCCUCCGAAAACAAGUUGAAAACCAAGCGAUGUUCCACGGAGAUUGUCUUUCUGAAUUAGGAAAGAUUCACGAUGAUCUAAAAUACUUGGGAAAGCACAUGAAGAAAAACAAUGAACUAAAA